rnacentral:lncRNA from 1 species
UGGUCUUCGUGUGGGUCCCCAGGCAUGGCUGGCCAAUGGGAUGCUUCUCUCUCCAAAGGAGCAGGGAGAGCUGGAGAUACCCUCCUUGCAAACAGCAGCUUGAGGAUCCAGCGCCUGGUGCACAGGUGAGUGGGAGUUCGAUGAGAGUGGCAGUUGUCUAUUUUGUUCACCGAUGUAUCUUAGGUGACUAAAACAAUGGUUGUCACAUGGCUGGCCCUUCAUAUUUGUUUCCAGAUGGAAGACUCUCUUUCUAGUGGUGGAACAUUAGUUUUGCACUGUGUUGGGACAACCUGAUGUAGUGAAAACAAGCCUGGGCAAUGAAAUCAACAGAUUGGAGUUCAGUUCCUAAUUGGGUCAUGGAUGAACUUUGUGACCUUGGGCAAGUGAGUUCACCUCUCUGAGUUGAAUAGGUUCCCUCCUUUCUAGAACAAGUAUGAGUCUGCAUCAGAGAGUGGUUGCGAGGGCUACACAUGAUGGAGGAUGAGGACUGGCACAUCAGAAGUACUGAAUGAAGAAUUGUAACAUAAAAAUGACAACAGUAAUAUAUUUUUGUGGUUUCAGCACUCUUCAAAUGAAACCACCUGGCCAACAGGAUUUUAGUGUACCUGCUUAUAACAUUAGCCUUCGUUUCCACCAAAAAGGGUGUUAAAAAAGGAAGCUUGGAACAUGAAAGUAAGACACUUGGAUGAAGAGAUUUAUGACUCUGGGGGGCUGUGAAUUCCUAAUGUCCUUUUGAGACAUGUAGAUCUUCCAGAGCGAUGCUGCCCAAUGCAGUAGCCACUAGCCAAGUGCAAAUGGUCACUUGCAAUAUGGCUAGUCUUUGAGAUGUGUUUUAAGUGUAAAAUACACACUGAAUUUUAAAGACUUAGCGCAAUACAAAGAAUGUAAAAUAUCUCAUUAUAUCUUGAAAUUAUACUAUUUUGGAUAUAUGGUGUUCCCUUGGUGUCUUUGGGGACUGGUUCCAGGAUCCUAGAGGAUACCCAAAUCCCCAGAUGUCAAGUCCGCUAUAUAAAAUGUCCUGUAGUAUUUGCAUAUAACCUACACACAUCCUUCUGAAUACUUUAAAUCAUCUCUAGAUUCCUUGUAAUUCCUAAUACAAUGUAAAUGUUAUGUAAAUAGUUGUUAUACUAUAUUAAAAAGUUUUUUAUUCUUUAUUUUUGCUGUAUUAUUCUUUUUGCAUAUUUUCAGUCCACAGAUGGUUGAUGCCACAGAUGUGGAACCUGUGAAUAAGGAGGGCUGACUGUAUUGAGU